rnacentral:misc_RNA from 1 species
GAUGAAGAACGCAGCGAAAUGCGAAAAGUAAUGUGAAUUGCAGAAUUCAGUGAAUCAUCGAAUCUUUGAACGCACAUUGCGCCCGCUGGUACUCCGGCGGGCACGCCUGUCCGAGCGUCAUUUCAACCCUCAAGCCCUCCUUCGGGAUGGGCCUGGUGUUGGGGCUCGGCCGCCAUCUCCGGCGGCCGUCCCCUAAAUACAGUGGCGGUCACGUCGCGACUCCUUUGCGUAGUAGAAACACCUCGCUCCGGAUAGCAACGCGGUCCACGCCGUAAAAUCCCCAAUUUUCUAAUGGUUGACCUCGGAUCAGGUAGGAAUACCCGCUGAACUUAAGCAUAUCAAUAAGCGGAGGA